rnacentral:rRNA from 1 species
GGAUAACCUGCCUCUUGGUGGGGGAUAACGGUUGGAAACGACCGCUAAUACCGCAUGUGGCUGCCGGAUCGCAUGGUCCGGCAAAGAAAGGCGCUUUCGGGCGCCGCCAAGAGAUGGAUCCGCCCCCCAUUAGCUUGUUGGUGAGAUAACAGCUCACCAAGGCAUCGAUGGGUAGCCGAGCUGAGAGGUUGAUCGGCCACACUGGGACUGAGACACGGGCCAG